AACUUUAUAGUAUAGUGUAUAGUACGCCGAUUAUUAUAUCGGAGGCGCGGGUUUGAUUCCCGUCGGGGUUU